GGUUGGAGCCGAUCUUUACCGCAUGCUCCGUAUCCCCAUCAUUCAAAGGGAUCGAAACCAGGUCUUCGAUUGGGCCGCCCCUUUCCUCAGCGAGAUCAUCGCGGGCGUCCAAUCCAUCAACUGGACAGAGGUCAGAUUGGUCACUUCUUUGCAAGGCUAUGUUGUAGCAGUGUUUGGCCAGGGUCUGGUCUCCCCUGACUUCUCCGACCCCUUGGUUAG
rnacentral:lncRNA from 1 species